rnacentral:rRNA from 1 species
CGUACACUCCUACGGGAGGCAGCAGUGGGGAAUAUUGCACAAUGGGCGCAAGCCUGAUGCAGCCAUGCCGCGUGUAUGAAGAAGGCCUUCGGGUUGUAAAGUACUUUCAGCGGGGAGGAAGGCGAUAAGGUUAAUAACCUUGUCGAUUGACGUUACCCGCAGAAGAAGCACCGGCUAACUCCGUGCCAGCAGCCGCGGUAAUACGGAGGGUGCAAGCGUUAAUCGGAAUUACUGGGCGUAAAGCGCACGCAGGCGGUCUGUCAAGUCGGAUGUGAAAUCCCCGGGCUCAACCUGGGAACUGCAUUCGAAACUGGCAGGCUAGAGUCUUGUAGAGGGGGGUAGAAUUCCAGGUGUAGCGGUGAAAUGCGUAGGGAUCUGGAGGAAUACCGGUGGCGAAGGCGGCCCCCUGGACAAAGACUGACGCUCAGGUGCGAAAGCGUGGGGAGCAAACAGGAUUAGAAACCCCUGUAGUCCCAUGA